UACGUAGGGGGCGAGCGUUGUCCGGAAUUAUUGGGCGUAAAGCGCGCGCAGGCGGUCCCUUAAGUCUGAUGUGAAAGCCCACGGCUCAACCGUGGAGGGUCAUUGGAAACUGGGGGACUUGAGUGCAGAAGAGGAGAGCGGAAUUCCACGUGUAGCGGUGAAAUGCGUAGAGAUGUGGAGGAACACCAGUGGCGAAGGCGGCUCUCUGGUCUGUAACUGACGCUGAUGCGCGAAAGCGUGGGGAGCAAACAGG
rnacentral:rRNA from 1 species